AAGUCGUAACAAGGUUUCCGUAGGUGAACCUGCGGAAGGAUCAUUAUUGAAAUAAACCUGAUGGGUUGCUGCUGGCUCUCUAGGGAGCAUGUGCACACUUGUCAUCUUUAUAUCUCCACCUGUGCACCUUUUGUAGAUCUGGAUAAUCUUUCUGAAUGCCUGGCAUUCAGGUUUGAGGAUUGACUUUUUGUCUUUCCUUACAUUUCCAGGCCUAUGUUUUCUUCAUAUACCCCAUUUAUGUUAUAGAAUGUAAUGAAAAAGGCCUUUGUGCCUACAAACCUUAUACAACUUUCAGCAACG
rnacentral:misc_RNA from 1 species